AAUAGAUACCCAGGUAGUCCACGCCCUAAACGAUGUCGACUAGGUGUUGGGGAAGGAGACUUCCUUAGUACCGCAGCUAACGCGUGAAGUCGACCGCCUGGGGAGUACGGUCGCAAGAUUAAAACUCAAAGGAAUUGACGGGGACCCGCACAAGCGGUGGAUGAUGUGGAUUAAUUCGAUGCAACGCGAAAAACCUUACCUACCCUUGACAUGGUCGGAAGCCCGAUGAGAGUUGGGUGUGCCCGAAAGGGAGCCGACACACAGGUGCUGCAUGGCUGUCGUCAGCUCGUGUCGUGAGAUGUUGGGUUAAGUCCCGCAACGAGCGCAACCCUUGCCAUUAGUUGCCACAUUCAGUUGGGCACUCUAAUGGGACUGCCGGUGACAAACCGGAGGAAGGUGGGGAUGACGUCAAGUCCUCAUGGCCCUUAUGGGUAGGGCCUCACACGUCAUACAAUGGCGCAUACAGAGGGUUGCCAACCCGCGAGGGGGAGCCAAUCCCAGAAAGUGCGUCGUAGUCCGGAUCGGAGU
rnacentral:rRNA from 1 species